AAAGUAAUAAAAAUUAGUUAACCUUGAUAGCAACAGAAUCUGAAAAAUAUAUAAGUUCGAUCGUUAAAGAAUCCGAGUGAAAUAUUAUAAGUCGUCAUAGUAAUACGAUCACUGAAGGUUAUAGUCGUUAUAAUCGUCGCGGCAAUUUUGAAUUCCUUCCAAUUAGCAGAUAAGCUGUAUUUAUAUAAGGAAUGGUAAACAUGUUAAACGAUUUCUCAGUGAGAGAAAUUACAUAUUAUAAAAUAUGAUCUUUAGCCAAGGAGAACUUCUAUCGAUUCUUACGAUACUCAACGUACCGGUUCUUUUACGUAAAUUGAUACAACUAACGAAAUUUCUGUUUUUUUCAAUAUGAUCAUAUACAACAAAUAAAAAAAUAAUAUACUGUUCGAUCACCCAUAAAAAAAAACUAAACAUAAUUAUAUUUACAGAACACUACUUCUGAAGAAAAAACAUUUCUGUUUUGUGCUACAUAUAUAGUAGGAUGGCAUAUAUAGAUGCAGGAUUUUAUAUUCACACUCAAUUUGUACCAGCUGAAACUAUGGUUAAGAAAAUGAAUGUGCGUUAAAUAAUAUUACUCAGGAUUCUAUCGGUUUCUCAUGAGAAACAAAGGCAAAAGAAUAAAGCUAGAUUAUGCACUGACGUAGACAUUUUCUUCGACACUAUAAUCUACAUGAACAGGCAUCAACAAGUCAAGAUAGAGUUCCACGAAAUGUUACAUAGUCAGGAAUUUCAACCAUAUACCAAUAUGAGUUAUCAAUAAUUAACAGAAAAAUUCGAUUGGUUCAAUUAUUUUUUAUGCUUUAUGAUGCGUAUAUAUUUUCAUUUAGAUCGUUACUCGCUAAUAAUUCCUCAUCGUUAAUCGCUAAAAGAAGUACCCUUCCCUGAUUUACAACGUUCAAUUAAAACUGUGUAAAAUUUGACCUUGGUUUACUACAUCAGCAAACUUUUAUAAUACAAAUUCGUGAUGCAUUACGUGAAAGACUUACUUCUAUGUAUAUGUAAACAAAACGUCUGUAAAAAGCACAUGAAUAAUUUGUAGAAUAUUUUUUUUAAAUUGUAAUGUAAGGCACGACCCUGAUGAAAUAUUCUUAUCUUAUCUAAAAGUUAUUUUUUCUUCACAAAAAAAUUAAAAUUAUGAAGCAUACGACAAAAAACUUGUUUGUACAUCGUCAGAUGUACAAACAAGAACGAUAAUUAAAAAAGUACCGAAUGAAAGUUAACUUGUUGAGAAAACUUGACGCACUUCCUCCUUUUAAUUUAAUUGUUAUGAAUAAAUGGUGCUCAUUUCACGGUCGUUGCGUCAGAGGCUUCGUGAAAUGAAAACCAUAAAGCAUUGAUGUUAAUUUGUUAAUUCCUUAAUAAGUGCUAGGGAGACAGAAAUGAAACUAUUUUCAAAGAAUUUCGAGAAAACUGAAAUAAAUGAAGCAUGGACCAUUGUUAUCUCCAUCAUAAUCGAGGAACGAAAUCGUCGCUCAUCAGAUUAUUUCAACUAUCGCGUGUCUCGAAAUUGAUCGAGUUUAGAUAUCGUGACCAAUUUAUGAAAACUAAACGCCAGGGUCGACCAAAUGAAAAACUGGAACUUGCGCAACGGCUGAUCACUAAUGACCCUUUACAAUAGUCUUUACAAGGUCACAAAAGAAAUUUGCUUUUAAUGUAUCGUACACGCGAAACUUAGGUGUACGAACUGAUGACUAUGUGAAAUUUAAACAGCGUCCUAAUUGUUACAGUUUAUUGAUACAUGACCGAAUGAAAUAUAUUUUCCCCGGGAUCAAUAAAAAAAACUUCUUGAAUUUAUAUGACCUUCUCAUCGAAGCGUUGCCAAAAUGAUGAUUCCUUGCUCGGUGUAAUCACUGAAAAUAUAUUCAUGUAAAUAUUUUAAUGAUUUAAUAUAAAAAAGAAUAUCAUGAUAGUAA